rnacentral:rRNA from 1 species
GACGAGCCACACAAACGUUAUUCGGAAUUACUGGGCUUAAAGGGUGCGUAGGCGGCGCAGUAAGUUGGGUGUGAAAUCCCUCGGCUUAACCGAGGAAUUGCGCCCAAAACUACUGUGCUCGAGGGAGAUAGAGGUGAGCGGAACUUAGGGUGGAGCGGUGAAAUGCGUUGAUAUCCUAAGGAACACCGGUGGCGAAAGCGGCUCACUGGAUCUCUUCUGACGCUGAGGCACGAAAGCUAGGGUAGCAAACGGG